UUACGGUCAAAUCACGCUGAAACACCGGUUCUCGUUCGAUCACCGAAGUUAAGCAUCGUAGAGCCAGGUCAGUACUUAUAUGGGGGACCGCUUGGGAACACCUGGUACUGUAAG
rnacentral:rRNA from 1 species